rnacentral:rRNA from 1 species
CUACGUGCCAGCAGCCGCGGUAAUACGUAGGUGGCGAGCGUUGUCCGGAUUUACUGGGCGUAAAGGGUGCGUAGGCGGAUGUUUAAGUGGGAUGUGAAAUCCCCGGGCUUAACCUGGGGGCUGCAUUCCAAACUGGAUAUCUAGAGUGCAGGAGAGGAAAGCGGAAUUCCUAGUGUAGCGGUGAAAUGCGUAGAGAUUAGGAAGAACACCAGUGGCGAAGGCGGCUUUCUGGACUGUAACUGACGCUGAGGCACGAAAGCGUGGGUAGCAAACAGGAUUAGAUACCCUGGUAGUCCACGCCGUAAACGAUGGAUACUAGGUGUAGGGGGUAUCAACUCCCCCUGUGCCGCAGUUAACACAAUAAGUAUCCCGCCUGGGGAGUACGGUCGCAAGAUUAAAACUCAAAGGAAUUGACGGGGGCCCGCACAAGCAGCGGAGCAUGUGGUUUAAUUCGAAGCAACGCGAAGAACCUUACCUGGACUUGACAUCCCUUGCAUAGCCUAGAGAUAGGUGAAGCCCUUCGGGGCAAGGAGACAGGUGGUGCAUGGUUGUCGUCAGCUCGUGUCGUGAGAUGUUAGGUUAAGUCCUGCAACGAGCGCAACCCUUGUUAUUAGUUGCUACCAUUAAGUUGAGCACUCUAAUGAGACUGCCUGGGUAACCAGGAGGAAGGUGGGGAUGACGUCAAAUCAUCAUGCCCCUUAUGUCCAGGGCUACACACGUGCU